GGGCAUGUAGCGUAGGGGUUAUCGCGUUCGCUUUGCAUAAUUUGAAAAUCUUGCUAUGCGAAAGGUCUCCGGUUCAAAUCCGGACUUGUCCA
rfam:Gymnopus luxurians FD-317 M1 unplaced genomic scaffold GYMLTscaffold_3, whole genome shotgun sequence.